GCUAGCUGUCGAAGACUGAGUCCGGUGAUUGUGAACGAACCUCCAUGGACGACCCUCUUCUCUCUGUCCCGUUCCCAGUGCUAGUUCGUCAUGCAAGAUGAUCGUCUGGGACGAACAACAAUUGGGGAAGCACCCGGAACAGAACAAGCUCAAGGAACAGGACAGAGACACCCAUGCACAAGCAAGAGUGAAAAACGAGGCUUCUUUUUCAGAAAACGGGUACCCCUCUCUGGCAUGUCCUCUGUCCUGACUCGGAACCCUCGAAGAGGGCACCUCUGAAGGCCCCUGAAGACAGGCCCGCUGGGGGGAC